rnacentral:lncRNA from 1 species
CUCCUUUAUGUCUGAAUAAACCUGAAGCAAGCCCUCUGCCUGCAGUGGCAAAUCGUGACCAGCAAGCCCUCAGUCAUGAUGAA